rnacentral:rRNA from 1 species
AUUGAACGCUGGCGGCAUGCCUUACACGUGCAAGUCGAACGGCAGCACGGGUGCUUGCACCUGGUGGCGAGUGGCGAACGGGUGAGUAAUAUAUCGGAACGUACCUUAUCGUGGGGGAUAACGCAGCGAAAGCUGCGCUAAUACCGCAUACGCCCUGAGGGGGAAAGCGGGGGACCGUAAGGCCUCGCGCGAUUAGAGCGGCCGAUAUCUGAUUAGCUUGUUGGUGGGGUAAAAGCCCACCAAGGCGACGAUCAGUAGCUGGUCUGAGAGGACGAUCAGCCACACUGGGACUGAGACACGGCCCAGACUCCUACGGGAGGCAGCAGUGGGGAAUUUUGGACAAUGGGGGCAACCCUGAUCCAGCAAUGCCGCGUGAGUGAAGAAGGCCUGG